rnacentral:lncRNA from 1 species
CAUUGGAUGAUGCUGGAAAAGUGAAGUUUGUCGGUGUCCCUGGAGAUCACCUCGAAAUGGCGCAUGAUGACGUUGUGAAAUACGUCGUGCCUUACCUGCAAAACCAGCUUUCGUUUUCUUCUUGAUGCAGAUCAACCUAAAUUCAUGAAUAAGGGCGUCCUCAUUAGUAAUGCCCUUUCCGAAGAAGAAGUUUUUUUGAUCAAUGGAGUAAUUUUUUUUGAACUAUUCAUCAUUGUAAUAAUUACGAUAACAUAAGUUUCAUCAUUUCUUUUCUUUUAAUAAUAAGAAUCACAAUAAAUACCUUUAACGGGUGUGUCUGAUAAUUACUCCCUCCAUUCGUUUAUACAUGACGUUUUAAACCUUUUAUUUUGUAUCAAAAUACUUGAUGUUUCCUGAAAACUAUCCAUAAUAUAAUGAUAAAGAAUUUAUUUAUCCCUUAUACAUUCCACAUAAGUUGAAACAUUCAUUACUCCAUAUUCACGUUUACUCUAUUUUAGAGGAAAAAAUAGAGUAUAUAUGGAAAUGCCCUUAGAAGAUUUUGAAUAUGUAUCCGGUUCAUCUAACGAGGUUCAUACCAUAUAUUAUAAGAUUCUACAAAAAAAAAAAAACUUAAGUGUGAUAUCCGAAUUCCGUAUUAGGUACCAAAUAUUUUUGAAAUUCAUUUUAAAAUUUUGCUUUUAGAAAAAAAAACACCUUUAAACUUUAAAAUAUGAAGUUUGAAACACCUUUAAACUUCAAAAAAUAGAGUGUACUUUUAAAAAUGCUCUAGUACUUUCAUCAAAUAAAGUUUCUUUCAUUAACAGCAAAUUCAAUUCCAGAAAAGGGGUUAAACUUCCAAAGAAUUAAGUCACCAACCAGGCAACUACCACGUAAUAAAUUCUCUUCCUUGCAUUUAUGAUUAAAGCACAAAAAUUAGAUUGAUCUGCAAUGACUAGCCUAUACUUCUUUCCUCGUUGCUUCUUGAGAUUCCUCCAAAAUCAAAGUAUUCUUUCUUCGAGUUGUUGCAUGAUGAAGAGUUUCCAACGAUGUGCUCUCCUAGUGAGGACCUUGUCAGUCUUCGUCUUCUUCAUCCCGGUUACAAUCUCCGUUCCAUUCAUCCUUUUACACGGUAAUCAACGAUCCUUUCUCUAUCUCCUCUUUUAUGUUUGCUACUUUUAACGAGUUAAAAACAUUUUGACUGGAACAGGGAUUCGAGAUCAAUGCUCCAAUGGUGGAACGAUUAGCUUCACACAGCUCCUUAGCAACCUCUCCAGCUCCCCUGGCUCUUGCUUGUACGGACUCAACUCAUACCUUCUUCUUGCUUCAUCCUAAUUUUACCAAAAAAGGUUUAUCUCUGUCUCUUUCUCUCUGUGGGUUUAUGUGUCAUCUUAUAGAGAAAUAGGAAAUGGAGAACAAGACUCCGUGUCCAUGCCGCUUACGCAACAAGCGAGUAUAGCGUGUGAGAAAGUGAAACAGAUGAAGGAGUUGAGUCAAGGUUACAACAUUGUUGCACAGUCUUGUUUGAUCCAAAAAUGGUGUUUAUCUUUGUGAUGUUUGUUGGAAUCAAUCAAAUAAAGAAUCUAAAGAUAAAAGCUUAGAUUCUUGAAGUUUAGGAGAAAUCUUAAAAGAAUCAAAUGAAAAAUGAACAUCAAAAGAGUUUAUUGAUUUAAGAUUGUAUUACAUGUAGGAUUACAAGUGUAAAUAAAUCUAAUAAUCCAUAAACCCUUUGUAAGAAGUGUUCUAGUCUAAAAUGGAGAAGAAGAGAUCCUUUGAUAAAGAGAGUUGUAUCUCUAUUUAUACAAAGAAGAAGCUAGGGCUUCAUAGUAAAAUGAGUCUAGUUUAUUGUCUAAUGGGCCUUGAGGUAGAAUGUAAAUCCACCCCCAACAAGUCUCAAGGAAACUUAGUCGCUAGAGGCCUAAUUGAGUUCUGUGACAAUGCUCCUCCUGUCCUCAACUAUGUUUCCUUAGGAGGUCCUCACGCUGGCAUAGCCAACAUCCCCAAGUGUACUGUGAGUUUUUUUAUAUUCCCUUUCUCUUUGUCUCUGUGUCUUAAUCACAACAACAACAACAAUGGGUUUCUCCUUCUCUGUUUCCAAGUCUCCUGUGUGCCAGCUACUGAGAACAGAUGUCUACAGCGACUAUGUUCAGGUACACCACAUUUUCUCUCUCUCUUCUUCUUAUAUAAUCAAAAUCUUAAAGCAUUAUUAGUAACAGCACCUUCUAAUGAAUCUGCAGGAUCAUAUUGCUCCAAGUGGUUAUAUCAAACUUCCUAAUGUAAAAACUCAAAACCUCAAAUAAUUUCUUACUUAAAUGAAUACCUGCAAUUGACAAAAAUCUUUGUAAUUUUGCUCUCAGGAGAUGUCAAAGUACCUGGAACACUCCAAGUAUCUGCCAAAGCUCAACAACGAGAGACCUAACGAGAGGAACUCCAUUUAUAAAGAACGUUUCACCAGCUUGCACAACUUGAUCCUCGUCAUGGUGGCGCCUCCUAAACCAAUUAAUGAUCCUUGAGAUUCCACCCAAUUCUUGAACAAGAUUGUUGGAUGAUUAGAUCAUAAAUAAUAUUGUUAUUCUUCGUUUUCCUUAAAACAGUUUCAGGGUGAUAAAGUAGUGAUGCCUAAAGAAAGUUGUUGGUUCGGAUAUUACCCUGAUGGAGCUACAACACCACUUUUGCCUCCUCAACAGGUGAAAACCUUAAACUGGUCCUCAUAUUAUCAUUUAUUUUCGUGUUCAUCAAUCAACUACUUGUGUUCUGAAACUAUGUAUUCUUUCUCCAGACGAAGCUCUAUACGGAGGAUUGGAUUGGUCUGAAAACAUUGGAUGCUGCUGGAAAAGUGAAGUUUGUUGGUGUCCCUGGAGAGCACCUUCAGAUGGCGCAUGAUGACGUUGUAAAGCACGUCGUGCCUUACCUCCAGAACAAUCCUACGUUUCUUUCUUAAUGCAGACUCCACCAAAAUUUAAUGGAAGACAGUGGUAUCUUAUUAAUAAGUGAAGAAGUUUAGUAUAAACUAAACAAAUGCUUUGAUUAUCUUCUCAUUUUAUCAAAGAGAGCCAAUUUUAUGCAAAUGGUUUUCGUUUAUAAAUAAUUUUCAACAGGUGCGAAAACUAUUCCAACAGGUACUAUAUGACUAAACCGGCACUCCAUACACUGAAUGUAUUUAAAUCCUUUUAUAUAAUAGGAUGUAUACGAUGUUUUCUUCUUCAUAUAUCCAAAUAUUUUUUAAAAUUAUUACAUUCUAUUGGAUUACAGCAUAUUUUUGUGAAGAAAAUAAAGGCUAUGAUUUAAAUUUUCAAGUCAAAAAGAAAACAAACACCAACCACGGAUGGCGCCAUCGCGGUCUUUAAUACUUUCAUUUCAACAUAUUAAAGAGAGUUUAAAGGCCCGGCCAUACACCAACCACAAUUGAUAAAUGAUCUUCCAUUUCAAAAUAAAAUUAUUGUUGUGAAAAUUAAAAUUUCUUAAUGGUAAGCGUUAGUUGAGCUGAGCCAAACGAAGAUGAUCAAGUGUGAAAAUAUCUUGUGUUAUUAAAAAAAUAUAUUGUUGUGUAAAUUGUUUUUUUUUUAAUGGUAAGCAUUAGUUGAGCUGGGCUAAACCAAGAAGAUGAUCAAUGUGGGAAAACAUCUUCUUUUAUUAAAAAUAAUUAUGGUUGUUGUGUAAUUUUUUUUUUAAUGGUAAGCAUUAGUUGAGCUGAGCUAAACGAAGAAGAUGAUCAAAGUGUGAAAAAAUCUUCUGUUAUUAAAAAAAAAAUUAUUGUUGUGUAAAUUAAAAUUUCUUAAUGGUAAGCGUUAGUUGAGCUGAGCUUUGUUAAUGGUAAGCGUUAGUUGGGGCUAAACGAAAAAGAUGAACAAAGUGUGAAAACAUCUUCUUUUAUUCAUUUGCUGUUGCCUGUUGAUAUUACUUUUUCUAGUACUAACUACCUUCUCGAUUUAUACUAACAGUACGUUUAUUUUUUACCACUAAAAAUAGAAUGUAUGAUUUAUAAAUUUAUAAAAAUCUUUAAAAUAAAAGGUGUGUUUUCUAACUCAGCUAAAAAAUCAUUAAAAUGCAUGGUUAUACAAAAUAAGUAAGAACCAGCAACCAAAUAAAAAGGCAAUUUACCGUAGGCCUGUCUCUAUAAAUAUGAUUGAACCACAAGAAGAUAGACUAGUCUGUACUUCUUUGUCUUCUUCUCAAGAUUAGCGAUAGUUAUUUCUCUGAGUUCUUCCAUGGAUAAGAGCUUCAAGCGAUCUGCUAUCUUUGUAACCUUCACCAUCUUCUUCUUCACUCCGGUUUCAAUCUCUGUUCCAUUCAUUCACUUACACGGUAAUUAAAGAUCUUCUUCCUUUUUUCUUUUUUUGAUCGAUACUGAACCUAAUGGAUAGGAUUGAGACAGGGAUUAAUGAUCAAUGCUCAAGCGUUGAAGCUAGAAGCUUCACACAGCUCCUUAGGAACCUCUCCAGCUCCCCUGGCUACUGCUUGUACCGACCCAACACACUCAAAUUCUCUUCUUGUUUUCAUCAUAAAUCUUGCUAAAGGGCUUAUCUCACUCUCUCCCUCUGUUAUCUUGUAGAGAAAUAGGAAAUGGUGAGAAAGAUUCCAUGUACAUGCCCCUUAUGCAGCAAGCGAGUAUAGCGUGUGAGAAAGUUAAGCAGAUGAAAGAGCUGAGUCAAGGUUACAACAUUGUUGCACAGUCACAAGGAAACAUGGUCGCGAGAGGUUUGAUUGAGUUCUGUGACGAUGCUCCUCCUGUCCUCAACUAUGUUUCCUUGGGAGGUCCUCAUGCUGGCAUCUCCAUCAUUCCCAAGUGUCCUGCGGGAGCUGUAAGUUCUCGUCCCUUUUUUCCUUGUCUCUUUUGUCUUAACAACAAGUUAGAUUCAUAAUAACAACAAUAAACUUCUCUGUUUAGAGUUAUCCACUUUGCCAGCUGCAGGAAACAGAGGUCUACAGCGACUCUGCUCAAGUACACCUUAUCUCUCUCUCUCUCUCUCUCUCUCUCUCUCUCUCUCUCUCUUCUUCUAUUUCUAAUCAAGAUCUUAAACCAUUAUUAGUACACUUCAUUAACAACACCUUCUAAUGACUAUGCAGGACCAUAUUGCUCCAUGUGGAUAUAUCAAACUCGCUACUGUACAAACUCUAAUUCUUAAAUGUUUUUUUUUUUUUCUAAUUCUUAAAUGUUUUUUUUAUCUCUCUUUUUUUUCUACUGUACAAACUCUAAUUCUUAAAUGUUUAUAUGAAUAACUUAGUAGAGCUAAGCGUUUGUUAUCUUAUUCACAGGAAAUAUCAGAGUAUAUGGAACACAGCAAGUUUCUACCAAAGCUCAACAAUGAGAGACCUAACGAGAGGAACUCCACUUAUAAAGAACGUUUCACUAGCUUGCUGUAAAUUAUAAUAGAAUAGAUAUAUUAUUGUGUUGUGUUUAAUAAGAGAAUACAAUAUGCAUAUAUAUAGUAGUAACAUUAAUAUAAUGUUAACACUAGAUAAUGCUAACUUUCCUAAACACUUAAUGUAAAUAUGCUAGAAUAUCUUGAGAGUAACUUGUUCUUCAAGUCUUUCCUUUUAUUCUUGAGGGUCUUCAUGGGUUUCACAGGCUUCACAGACUUGGUCCGUAAGAUACAUAUCUUCCGGCCCAACAUAUCUCUAAUACUCCCCCGCACGACAAACGUGGGAUGCAACACGCAAAUCUGCAAUCACAAAGCAGACCACGUAUGUCGUGGACACUAUGUCGAGGAAAACAAAUCAGUAGAUUCCUUCGAGAAUAAACUUCAACUUAGACAAGGAGGGAUGAAAUCUUCAGCUCUUCUUCGGUCUUGACAAUGAGAAUACAUCUCGUGGGCGCAACUGCAACUCCAUAAACAAUUAUCCUUGACUUGGACAGUCCAUAACACGGACUAAAAAAAACUGACCUAAGAAUUUGAGCGUUCAACUAGAACUCCCCCGUAAUGGUUAAACUAUAACCAAUAAAUCCCAAACUAUGAGAAAACAACUCUUGAGAAAUUCUAAACUAUAGAAAAAUCUCAGAUAGAAAAUAACCCAUGUGAAACUACAAACCUUAACCCUCAAUAAUUCUCAAGCAUUCACCAAAAUAGAAAAAAAAAAAAAUAAUAAUAAUAAAUCCUUUGACUUAAAUAACAUACUUAACAAAACCCUGAUACUUAUUAUUAAGAAGUAUCCCUAAUGAGAGAACUUGACGUUGACGUCUUCAUCUGGAUCGUCGUCACCACCUUCUUUGCCAUCAUCAACACCACCGAUGAUAAGCAUCUUCGAAGUUUAAAACUUAUAACGCGGAAGCUUAAUUUUGAUCCCUAAGAAUCGAAUGCUCUGAUACCAUGUAAAUUAUAAUAGAAUAGAUAUAUUAUUGUGUUGUGUUUAAUAAGAGAAUACAAUAUGCAUAUAUAUAGUAGUAACAUUAACAUAAUGUUAACACUAGAUAAUGCUAACUUUCCUAAACACUUAAUGUAAAUAUGCUAGAAUAUCUUGAGAGUAACUUGUUCUUCAAGUCUUUCAUUUUAUUCUUGAGGGUCUUCAUGGGUUUCACAGGCUUCACAGACUUGGUCCGUAAGAUACAUAUCUUCCGGCCCAACAUAUCUCUAAUACUUGCACAACUUGGUCCUAGUUAUGGUGCUGUCUCCUAAAACCAAUGAUCCUUGAACAACAUUGUUGGAUGAUUAACUCAUGAAUCUUUGUUUUUUAAUUUUUUCUUAAUAACAGUUCGAGGGUGAUACAAUAGUAGUUCCUAGAGAAACUUGUUGGUUCGGAUUUUACCCUGAAGGAGCUACAGCACCUCUUUUGCCUCCUCAAAAGGUGAAAACCUUAAACUCAUCAUCCUCAGUUUCAUUUCUGUUUCUCAUCAUUAGCCAACCCCACUUGUUUCUGAAAAUAUGUUUUUUUCAGACAAAGCUAUAUACUGAGGACUGGAUUGGUCUGAAAACACUGGAUGAUGCUGGAAAAGUGAAGUUUGUCGGUGUCCCUGGAGAUCACCUCGAAAUGGCGCAUGAUGACGUUGUGAAAUACGUCGUGCCUUACCUGCAAAACCAGCUUGCAUUUUCUUCUUGAUGUAGAUCAACCUAAAUUCAUGAAUAAGGGCCUCAUUAGUAUGCCAUUUCCGAAGAAGAACUUUUUCUUGAUCAAUGUAAUAAUUUUUUUUUGAACUAUUGAUCCUUG